UACGUAGGGGGCAAGCGUUGUCCGGAUUUAUUGGGCGUAAAGAGCGUGUAGGCGGCCAGGUAGGUCGGUUGUGAAAACUAGAGGCUCAACCUCGAGACGCCGGUGGAAACCAUCAGGCUAGAGUCCGGAAGAGGAGAGUGGAAUUCCUGGUGUAGCGGUGAAAUGCGCAGAUAUCAGGAAGAACACCCGUGGCUAAGGCGGCUCUCUAGUACGGUACUGACGCUGAGACGCGAAAGCGUGGGGAGCGAACAGG
rnacentral:rRNA from 1 species